ACGAGCCCACCGGGAGGAACGAACAACCCCAGACGCGCGGCCUUAAGAGCUGUAACACUCACCGCGAAGGUCUGCAGCUUCACUCCUGAGCCAGCGAGACCACGAACCCACCAGAAGGAAGAAACUCCGAACACAUCUGAACAUCAGAAGGGACAGACUCCAGACGCGCCACCUUAAGAGCUGUAACACUCACGGCGAGGGUCCGCGGCUUCAUUCUUGAAGUCAGUGAGACCAAGAACCCACCAAUUCUGGACACACAAUGAGAUAAUAACAUAAGUUUGAAAACUGCAAUUGGGCCUACUAAGGAACCAUGAUAGUGUUUGGUACAUAGAGGACACUGGAAAUGGUUUUCUUAACUGAACAAGUGACUAGAAUAAAGGAAUUAAUGAACGACAUCAGAGCUGAAAUCCCAAACCAUAAAUCAUAAAAGGAUCAGACAGCAAAGGUGGUGAGGAUAAGAUGAGUUUAAUAAUACAUGGAAAGCCCUUAUCAGCACCUGGCAUAAAAUAAUCACUGUGGAUGGAUCUCACUUUGUUUCACACUCAACUCAAAUUCCUGGCCUCAAGCAAUCCUCCUACAUCAGCCUCCCAAAGCACUGAGACUACUGUCCCCUUAUUCCUUUUGUUGAUAUUCCCAAACCUAGCCCUGCAUUUGGGUCAUGUAGGAAGGAGUACAGUGGAAUAGAUGGAAUGGGCUUUAUGGACUGGACUGAAUUUUUCAAAAACAGUUAGAUCUCGGGACAUGACUUAAGAUAACUAGCAAAAAUUUAGUUUGAUGGUAUAAGUAAAAAUUUAUCUACUUUCUACCAAAAUUAUCAAAACCGAUUCUUCCAAGAUUGAAUUUCUCAACAUUACUUCAAAAGUAUAGGUAUUGUUUUGUUCAAUAUCUUAGCUAGAGUUAGCCAAACCACCCCCUCACCCCAGGAUUUCUAAUGGCUUCUUUCAAAGUAUGUCUGCAGUUCAUGUUAUUUUUCCUACUAAACAUAACAAAAAAAAAAAAAACUUGAAACUAGAACAAAGAAUACCUGAAGAGACUUAGAAUGUAAUGAUGUUAUAACACCUUAGCUGUAAGUACACACACAAACAUUACCACCAAUGAAAAUGGUGAUUCAAAAUCAAAUCACUUUAUGCAUAGCUGUAAGGCCUGUUGAAAAUUUCUAGAAAACCAGAUAUUUAUUUCAUUGUAUUUGCAUUUACACUGCAUUGUAUUUGGAAAUACAGUAUUUGGUUAACCUUAUUUUCCUGAUGACUGCAACAGAGUGAAAAUAAGAGACUGGGACAUGGGCAUCAUAGAGUCUCCCAUUCUUUUGUUUGUUUGUUUGUUUUUUUUUUUUUUUUUGAGACAGAGUCUCUCUCUGUUGCCCAGGCUGGAGUGCAGUGGUGUGAUCUCGGCUCACUGCAAGUUCUGCCCCCAGGUUCACGCCAUCCUCCUGCCUCGGCCUCCUGAGUAGCUGGGACUACAGGCGCCUGCCACUGUGCCUGGCUAAUUUUUCGUAUUUUUAGUAGAUACGGGGUUUCACUGUGGUCUCGAUCUCCUGACCUCGUGAUCCGCCCACCUCAGCCUCCCAAAGUGCUUGGAUUACAGGCCUGAGCUACCACGCCCAGCCAGAAUUUCCCAUUCUUAAGAAAUCAUAAUAGUACUUAGGAAUGGCUAUAUUAUUAGAUUUCUAUUUAGAAUGAAAAAAAGCAUAUAUUUUUUGAGAAAUAGGCACUAUUUUUAUUAGAGCAGCUCUAUCUCAUUGUGUUAGUUUUUUUUAUCCUAAACUUCAGGCUGUUUUUUUGGAGGGAUCUAGCCACCACUGUUAUCUUUUAACUAGCAAAACUUUUGACUUUUGCAUUUACUAUAAAGAGAAGUUUACAAUAGGAGAACAGGAUUUUCAAAAAAAAAAAAGGAUCAAAUUAUGUUUAGUAAUACACUCCUUCCCAUUUACAUGCUUUUUGUUGACUUUGCAGAAUUACAAGUAGUGCUUCUAGGUCAAGUGAAGUUUCACAUGCAAGGUUG
rnacentral:lncRNA from 10 species